rnacentral:misc_RNA from 1 species
AGUCCUACCUGAUUUGAGGAAAAUGUGUUUUUAGUGUGGUUGUCACUACUAAAUUAGAAAAUAACAACACAAGAAAAAUACUUUUCGAAUGGACUGACUAAGAGCUCGUGCCAUUCAACGCCAACCCGCGGGGGUUGAGGGAGAAAUGACGCUCAAACAGGCAUACCUUGUGGAAUACCACAAGGUGCAAUGUGCGUUCAAAGAUUCGAUGAUUCACGAAAAUCUGCAAUUCAUAUUACUUAUCGCAUUUCGCUGCGUUCUUCAUCGAUGCGAGAACCAAGAGAUCCGUUGUUGAAAGUUUUGAUUUUUGGUUGUUGUUGUUGACAUAAUUAAGUUGGUUAGUUGUAUAUGUUAAACGUAAACGUGUAAACAAUUAAAUUUUUAAUGAUCCUUCCGCAGGUUCACCUACGGAAACCUUGUUACGACUUUUACUUCCUCUAAAUGAUUAGGUUUGACUAGCUUUUCAACCCCAGAUCAAGGUCGCCCUCGUUCUUAGGUCAAUCCGGAAGCCUCACCAAACCAUUCAAUCGGUAGUAGCG